rnacentral:rRNA from 1 species
GGGAUUAGAUACCCCACUAUGCCUAGCCGUAAACACAAAUAUUUAAUAACAAAAAUUUCGCCCGAGAACUACUAGCAACAGCUUAAAACUCAAAGGACUUGGCGGUGCUUUAAACCCAUCUAGAGGAGCCUGUUCUAUAAUCGAUAAACCCCGAUAAACCUCACCACUUCUUGCCAACUCAGCUUAUAUACCGCCAUCUUCAGCAAACCCCACCAGGGAUUAUAAGUAAGCACAAUUAUUCUCGUAAAAACGUUAGGUCAAGGUGUAGCCAAUGAAGUGGAAAGAAAUGGGCUACAUUUUCUCCCUAGAGAACAAUAGACGAUAAUCUCUAUGAAACCCAGAGAUCCAAGGAGGAUUUAGCAGUAAAUUAAGAAUAGAGAGCUUAAUUG